AAAGCUUUAAGUUAAACUAAACUAUAAACCUUCAAAGUUUAAAAUAAAUUUUUUUAAGCUUUA
rnacentral:tRNA from 1 species